ensembl:lncRNA
UACUACUGACAAUUGUUUUUUGUAUUGUAAUGAAGAAGGCUUUUAUGACAACAAAAAUGGUGAUUUCUAAAAAUUAAACACUAAUUUAAUUCAUAGUUUUAUAUAUAUAUAUAUAUAUAUAUAUAUAUAUAGGUUAAGCACCUUCUCGUAAAUAUGGCUGUUUUCCAAGGGUUUUUUUUUUUUUAGGAUUUACAUUUUAAAAAAUUUGCCUACUUCAAACAUUUUAAGCAGCUUGAACAAAACCUGUUAAUAUUUAUUAUAGACCACUGUAACUGUCUAUAAUCUAAAAAAACAAGUUUAUUAUGAAAAUAAAAGUGUGUACACUAGUUAAAUUGGACGAUAAAGAAAUUGCUAACAAUAGUUGCAUGUUUUAAGUUUAUAGGUGUUUGGAUGCAGA